GCCACUACUUACGGAAUCACUUUUGUUUUCUCUUCCUCCUCCUACUUAGAUGUUUCAGUUCAGAGGGUUUACGACAUUCUGUCUAUACAUCUUCAAUGUAUAAGGAGGAAGAGAAAACAAAAGUGAUUCCGUAAGUAGUGGCGAGCGAAAGCGGAAGAGGCCAAACCAAUGAGCGUGCUCAUUGGGGUUGUAGGACUGCGAGAUUGACAUAUAAUGUAUAGCAGAAUGAUUUGGAAAAGUCAACCAAAGGAGGUGAAAGUCCUGUAAGCGGAAUGCAUUAUAUACAUAGCAGUAUCCUGAGUAGGGCGAGGCUGGUGAAACCUUGUCUGAAUCUAGCGGCACCAUCCGCUAAGCCUAAAUACUACUAGUAGACCGAUAGCGAACCAGUACUGUAAAGGAAAGGUGAAAAGAACCCUGAGCAAGGGAGUGAAAAGACCCUGAAACCAUGCGCUUACAAGCGGUUGUAGUGGUGCUUCGGCAUCAUGGCAGCGUGCCUUUUGCAUAAUGAGCCUACGAGUUACUCCUCACUGGCGGCCUAAGUACUUCAGGUACGGAAGCGAAGCGAAAGCGAGUCUUAACAGGGCGAUACAGUCAGUGGGGGUAGACGCGAAACCGAGUGAUCUAUCCAUGGGCAGGCUGAAGGUUCGAUAAUCUCGAACUGGAGGGCCGAACAGGUAAACGUUGAAAAGUUUUCUGAUGACCUGUGGAUAGGGGUGAAAGGCCAAUCAAACUCGGAGAUAGCUCGUACUCCCCGAAAUGCAUUUAGGUGCAGCGUCGUCGAGUGAUUUGUUGGAGGUAAAGCUACUGAGAAGGCUAGGGGGCUUCACCGCCUACCAACCCUUAACAAACUCUGAAUGCCAACAAACAGCAGCGGCAGUGAGCCCCGGGGUGCUAAGGUCACGGGGCGAGAGGGGAACAACCCAGAUUAUCAGCUAAGGUCCCAAAGUUAUGGUUAAGUUGCAUUAAACGAGGUGGGAAUGCAGUGACAGCUAGGAUGUUUGCUUGGAAGCAGCAAUUCAUUUAAAGAGUGCGUAACAGCUCACUAGUCGAGCGUUCCUGCGCGGAAAAUAAGCGGGCAUCAAACCAUACACCGAAGCUAUAAAUUCGAAAGAGUGGUAGGGGAGCAUUCAGUCGUGUUGAAGCCAUCUUGUGAGAGGUGGUGGAGUGAACUGAAAAGCAAAUGUAGGCAUAAGUAACGAUAAUGCGGGUGAAGAACCCGCACGCCGAAAGACUAAGGGUUCCUUGAUCUACGUUCAACGGAUCAGGGUUAGUCGGGUCCUAAGGAUAAGCCGAAAGGCGAAGCCGAUGGCAAACCAGUUAAAAUUCUGGUACCUGUUAUAUCUGCGAAGCGGGGACGGAUGAGGGUAAGUAUCGCGAAGUUACGGAAUACUUCGUUGAAGGAUCUGUGAGGAUCUGAUAGUAUGGCGACUUUUUCGGAAGGAGCCAAUAGUGUACCGAACCUUGUCCCAGGAAAAGCCGAUAAGCGAUAGGAUAUGACAGCCCGUACCGCAAACCGACACAGGUAGUCGAGGAGAGGAUCCUCAGGCGCUCGAGUGAUUCGUGGCUAAGGAACUAGGCAAAAUGGUCUCGUAACUUCGGGAGAAGAGACGCUCUCUGCAAAGAGAGCCGCAGUGAAGAGGCCCAGGCGACUGUUUAGCAAAAACACAUGGCUAUGCGAAAUCGAAAGAUGAUGUAUAUGGCCUGACACCUGCCCGGUGCCGGAAGGUUAAGGAAGGGGCUUAGGAGCAAUCCGAAGGUCUUAACUGAAGCCCCAGUAAACGGCGGCCGUAACGAUAACGGUCCUAAGGUAGCGAAAUUCNNNNNNNNGUAAGUUCCGACCUGCACGAAUGGUGUAA
rnacentral:rRNA from 1 species